rnacentral:rRNA from 1 species
CCUACGGGGGGCUGCAGUGAGGAAUAUUGCGCAAUGGGGGCAACCCUGACGCAGCAACGCCGCGUGAGUGAGGAAGGUUUUCGGAUUGUAAAGCUCUGUCGAGCGGAAAGAAAUGCAUUAUGGCUAAUAUCCAUAGUGCUUGACGGUACCGCUAAAGGAAGCACCGGCUAACUCCGUGCCAGCAGCCGCGGUAAUACGGGGGGUGCAAGCGUUGGUCGGAAGCAUUGGGCGUACUACGCAUGUAGGAUGCGAAAUCCCUGGGCUUAACCCAGGAAGUGCAUUUGAAACUGUCUAGCUAGAGUAAGGGAGAGGAAAGUGGAAUUCCUGGUGUAGAGGUGAAAUUCGUAGAUAUCAGGAGGAACACCGGUGGCGAAGGCGACUUUCUGGCCCUAUACUGACGCUGAGACGCGAAAGCGUGGGUAGCAAACAGGAUUAGAUACCCCGGUAGUC